rnacentral:rRNA from 1 species
GGUUACCUUGUUACGACUUCACCCCAGUCAUGAAACACAAAGUGGUAAUCGUCCUCCCGAAGGUUAGACUAACUACUUCUUUUGCAUCCACUUCCAUGGUAUGACGGGCGGUGUGUUCAAGACCCGAGAACGUAUUCACCGCGACAUGCUGAUUCGCGAUUACUAGCGAUUCCGACUUCAUGGAGUCGAGUUGCAGACUCCAAUCCGGACUACGAAGAAUUUUCUAGGAUUAGCACCACCUCGCGGCUUAGCGUCCGUCUGUAUUCCCCAUUGUAGCACGUGUGUAGCCUAUACGUAAGGGCCAUGAUGACUUGACGUUCGUCCUCACCUUCCUCCGGUUUAUCACCGGCAGUCCCCUUAUGUUCCCGACCGAAUCGCUGGUUAGGGUUGCGCUCG